rnacentral:rRNA from 1 species
GAUGAACGCUAGCGGCAGGCUUAACACAUGCAAGUCGAGGGGUAUAGUAGCAAUACUAGAGACCGGCGCACGGGUGCGUAACGCGUAUGCAACCUACCUUUUACAGAGGGAUAGCCCCAGAGAAAUUUGGAUUAAUACCUCAUAGUGUUAUUAGAUGGCAUCAUUUGAUAACUAAAGUUCCAACGGUAAAGAUGGGCAUGCGUCCUAUUAGCUAGUUGGUAAGGUAACGGCUUACCAAGGCUACGAUGGGUAGGGGUCCUGAGAGGGAGAUCCCCCACACUGGUACUGAGACACGGACCAGACUCCUACGGGAGGCAGCAGUGAGGAAUAUUGGACAAUGGGCGCAAGCCUGAUCCAGCCAUGCCGCGUGCAGGAUGACGGUCCUAUGGAUUGUAAACUGCUUUUAUACAGGAAGAAACACUCCGACGUGUCGGAGCUUGACGGUACUGUAAGAAUAAGGAUCGGCUAAC